rnacentral:rRNA from 1 species
AACGCGAAGAACCUUACCAGCUUUUGACAUGUCUCGUUCGGUUUCCAGAGAUGGGAUCCUUCAGUUCGGCUGGCGAGAACACAGGUGCUGCAUGGCUGUCGUCAGCUCGUGUCGUGAGAUGUUGGGUUAAGUCCCGCAACGAGCGCAACCCUCGCCCUUAGUUGCCAUCAUUGAGUUGGGCACUCUAGGGGGACUGCCGGUGAUAAGCCGAGAGGAAGGUGGGGAUGACGUCAAGUCCUCAUGGCCCUUACAAGCUGGGCUACACACGUGCUACAAUGGCGGUGACAACGGGAUGCAAAGGGGCGACCCCGAGCAAAUCUCAAAAAGCCGUCUCAGUUCAGAUUGUACUCUGCAACUCGAGUACAUGAAGGUGGAAUCGCUAGUAAUCGCGGAUCAGAACGCUGCGGUGAAUACGUUCCCGGGCCUUGUACACACCGACGCGUA